CCUUGGCUCCCUGCACUGUUAUGUGACAGCUCUCCUCUGGAGACGAAGGGUCCUUUCCUGCUAGAAAAUCUAUAUCAGACAGGACUCCUCUGCAAAUUACUAACUCGUUGAACUCAGCAAACAUGUAUCAAGCAGUCAGAGAAGCAGUGGUGGUGGCAGUAUCUUGGGAGGAUUCGUCACAAAGCUCAAGAUCUUGCUAUGCACUUCAAUGUCCUGGAGCUCAAGAUCUUUGUGAGUUCUGAGAGUAUGGGCCUGCUCUACACACCUAGCCCAGUUAGAUCUAACUGAGCUGUAGCCACCGAAGAGACACCAUGCAGAGACAAGCAAAUAUAUAAACACUGUAAGGACAGCUUUUGCCUCUGGUUGUUUAUGGUCUAGGUGAAAGAGAAGAUCAAAGGCUGUGGCAGUCAAAGAAGGUGGUACAUGACAAGAUUCUUAGAGGAUGAGGAACAAAGAGGAAAGGGCAUCCUGGGAAGAGACAAGACUGGAAUGACAGUGCAGAGGUUGGAUUCUAGCCCCAGAAUCUUGUUCCAUAAUGACAGGCCAAAGGAAAGUCAGAAGCAGGGAAAAUCAUGGUGUGG